GACGAACGCUGGCGGCGUGCCUAAUACAUGCAAGUCGAACGCACUCUCGUUUAGAUUGAAGGAGCUUGCUCCUGAUUGAUAAACAUUUGAGUGAGUGGCGGACGGGUGAGUAACACGUGGGUAACCUGCCCUAAAGUGGGGGAUAACAUUUGGAAACAGAUGCUAAUACCGCAUAAAACCCAACACCGCAUGGUGUAGGGUUGAAAGAUGGUUUCGGCUAUCACUUUAGGAUGGACCCGCGGUGCAUUAGUUAGUUGGUGAGGGGUAAAGCUCACCAAGACCGUGAUGCAUAGCCGACCUGAGAGGGUAAUCGGCCACACUGGGACUGAGACACGGCCCAGACUCCUACGGGAGGCAGCAGUAGGGAAUCUUCCACAAUGGACGAAAGUCUGAUGGAGCAACGCCGCGUGAGUGAAGAAGGUUUCGGAUCGUAAAACUCUAGUUGUUGGAGAAGAAUGUAUCUGAUAGUAACUGAUCAGGUAGUGACGGUAUCCAACCAGAAAGCCACGG
rnacentral:rRNA from 1 species